UCCCAUGUAGUGUAGUGGUUAGCAUUCCAGAUUUUCAUCUCGUGUAGAAAACUCUGGCGACCGGGGUUCGAACCCCCGCAUGGGAA